rnacentral:lncRNA from 1 species
UGUCUAAGUCAUAGAGUUUGUAUUAAGGUUGUAAAAGUGUAAAUUUCAUUUAUUAGAUUGAUCAUGCAGGAGAUUAUCGUUUCGUGAUUGCGAUGAUCUUCUUUUUAUUAUUUAUGAGUUGUGUACGAACUUUGUAAUAUAUUUUGUCACGAAAUCGCCAAAGGGGAAGAUUGUUAAGGAUUUUAUAGGUUGGCGGAUUUCGUAAUGUUGAAUGGAGUCUUGAAGAGUUGAUUGCAGAAGAUUGAAGAAAAGACCUAAAUUGAAGAAAA